rnacentral:rRNA from 1 species
AUGGCGGCGAAGGCGGAGACGGCCGCCGCCGGGAGGCCGGAGUCGAGGCGGUCUCUGAUGGCGGCGUUCCAUUGGGGGGCGGUGGCGCAGGCGGAGGUGGCCGGAGGCGGUGAGCCGGGGAGGAGGAGGCUGCUGCGCGGGGCUAUCAGCAGAGCGGGUGUUGGGCGAAAUGCAGAAAAGGAACAUGGAGGCAUCUUGGCCCGACUGCAACAAGCCCGCCGUCCAGUUCGUCCCCGCCGGCACGCUGCUCCAGCAGCCGGGCAAGGACGGGGAGAUGGAGCAGGUUGCGGGAGCACGCCAGCGUGUCACGCCUAA